AAUUUUGGACAAUGGGGGAAACCCUGAUCCAGCCAUCCCGCGUGUAUGAUGAAGGCCGUCUUGUUGUAAAGUACUUUUGUCAGAGAAGAAAAUGCAUCCCCUAAUCCGGGAUGCUGCUGACGGUACCUCCAGAAUAAGCACCGACUAACUACGUCCCAGCAGCCGCGGUAAUACGUAGCUUGCAAGCGUUAAUCGGAAUUACUGGGCGUAAAGCGUGUGUAGGCGGUUAGGAAAGAAAGAUGUGAAAUCGCAGGGCUCGACCUUGGAACUGCAUUUUUAACUGCCGAGCUAGAGUAUGUCAGAGGGGGGUAGAAUUCCACGUGUAGCAGUGAAAUGCGUAGAUAUGUGGAGGAAUACCGAUGGCGAAGGCAGCCCCCUGGGAUAAUACUGACGCUCAGACACGAAAGCGUGGGGAGCAAACAGG
rnacentral:rRNA from 1 species